AUCCGAAAAUCAGUCUCCGAGCCGUGGCGCCUAAAAGGGAUCUCCCUCAGGGUGGGCCGGCCUAUGGGUAUCGCUGGAAACGGCGGUGCCUCCCUUUUGCAAAGGAGACCCCAACGGCCGGAG
rfam:Geobacter bemidjiensis Bem, complete genome.